rnacentral:rRNA from 1 species
CGUGUAGGCGGCCUGCCAAGUCAGAUGUGAAAGCCCCGGGCUUAACCUGGGAACUGCAUUUGAGACUGGCAGGCUAGAGGUUGGAAGAGGAGAGUGGAAUUCCCAGUGUAGAGGUGAAAUUCGUAGAUAUUGGGAAGAACACCAGUGGCGAAGGCGGCUCUCUGGUCCACACCUGACGCUGAGGCGCGAAAGCGUGGGGAGCAAACAGGAUUAGAUACCCUGGUAGUCCACGCCGUAAACGAUGUGUGCUAGACGUCGGAUGUUACGCAUUCGGUGUCGCCGCUAACGCAUUAAGCACACCGCCUGGGGAGUACGGCCGCAAGGUUAAA